AAAAUAAAUAUAAAGCUAUUUCCAGAGGUCCUGCAGGGUGACUCGCUAUCUGGUACACACACCACAGCACUGGCAGAGCGAGCAAGGGGUUGCUUGUUAGCUGCCCAUGAGUAGGGAGUGGGAGAGCUGGGGGUGAGUGUGGCGGGGGCCGUGCUCGUGGUCUUUCAACAGUGAGUCUGAGGCUGCAGGAGGGCAACCGAGGUGCUGGGCUGGAUGCAGGCAAGCCCCGACUGCUAACACUUCCUGUACUGAAACCUCAAACAACGUGCCUGCUCCUCAGUCACUGCAAGCAGCAACGUCCAUUGGAGAAGGAAAAAUAAAAGAUUCAUCAGGGUCUGCAUCUGAUUCUGUGUAAAUCUGAGGUGAGGGCUCCUUUGCUGGUCUACAUGAAUAUACCUAUAUUUUGCAUGACUGAUUUUAUGCUCAGCCUUACAAAUUCCACCUGAAUCUGCCCACACCCUCUUCUUCU
rnacentral:lncRNA from 1 species